GCCAGAACGCUCGGCGGUGGUUCCCGCAAGGGAUCAAUAGGGAACGCGGUGCGUUCGCUUCGGCGAGCAAAUCCGCGGCUGCCCCCGCAACUGUGAGCGGCGAGCUUUCGACCAUGAUGCCACUGGGAACUCGAUGUUCCUGGGAAGGCGGGCGAGGGCUGUGACCCGCGAGCCAGGAGACCUGCCACCAGCCGCGGUCACGC
rnacentral:ncRNA from 2 species